GCAAACUAAAAAUAUAGAAGGGUUUGAGUCACAAGACAAUAUGCGUAUUACAACUCUGAAAUAACCCGGGCAAUAGAAAUGACUACAAAAUCGACCACCAAAGCUCCUCCCCGGCUGACCUGGGAACGGAGCAUCUUUCCAAUAACCAAGCAUGGCAUCUUAGCCACUGAGUUCUGCAUCAAUAUUGCCUAUACCAUUACCAACUUCAAUAUCAUCAACUUCAGUCAACAAGUUCUCCAGAGGAUUCGCGUGCUUCCUGUCACGGUCAUUAACCACAAUUACCCCUUCUUGAAUCAUUCUUUCUAUUUCCCUUUUCAAAGAAUGACAAUCUUCAAUGUUGUGCCCUUGGAAAUUAGAGUGGUACAUGCAUCAUACAGUAGGAUCAAAUUCUUUUGCAUAUAGGUCUGGAGUAUAGCCAAGGAGCGACUCAAUCAGGCCAGAAUGCUUUAACUUUUCAAAUAAGCUUGUGUAAGACUCCCCAAUUGGCGUGAAGCUACUUCUUUUCCUUUGUUCUCUUCCCUUCCCCUGUUUUCUUGGGUUGUUGGGUUCUUGAGAACGUUGUGAAGGCAAGAAUGCAUUAUGCGGUGCUGGUGCUCGCCAUAGGGAGUGGCAUGGUGGUUGGGCCGAUGACCAGACAUUGUUCGGAGGAUGAUACUGAGGUAGAUUAUGUGGAGCUGGGGGAUAUGUUUGGGAUUGGG
rnacentral:lncRNA from 1 species